AAGAAAUGAAGGAAUGACAAUGAAUAUGUGUUCAAAUAUCAAAAUGUCUGGGGCCGAAUCUAAGGCCUCUAGAGAAGGUGAAACCCUAGAAGGCGUAAUUCUGGGAGGCUUCCUGGAGUUGGGACAAACCUAGAGGGGUCCUGGAGAGGCAGACUCUGAAGGAAAAAGAAUUCUGUAGAAACCCAGCAUGGCCCAAGCUUGGAGCGUGGAACAGAGGCGGCCGCUGGGGCACUGAUGACUCGCCCGCCCGCCCCAUCUCCUGUCCCUAAAAACAGUGCUUUGCCUCACUGCAGGUCUGCUAACCUGUGUGGAACACAGGGACGUCAAGCCACCCCUGGAGGAUGUGCUCAGCUCUGGGCCAAUGCUGUGAGGAUGCCCACCGACACCACGGAGAAGGAGCCUCAACCUGGACAAGGAUGGCCUCCACGCAACUCCUGAAGGAGAGGUCUGGGGAAGAGAAGGCUUGUGGGGGUGGGCACAAUCACCAUUUUGGAAGGAAAUAAUAAUAAACAGUGGUUAAUGCCUACGUGCUUG
rnacentral:lncRNA from 1 species